UGGGGAAUAUUGGACAAUGGGGGCAACCCUGAUCCAGCAAUGCCGCGUGAGUGAUGAAGGCCUUCGGGUUGUAAAGCUCUUUUGCCAGGGACGAUGAUGACGGUACCUGGAGAAUAAGCCCCGGCUAACUUCGUGCCAGCAGCCGCGGUAAUACGAAGGGGGCAAGCGUUGUUCGGAAUUACUGGGCGUAAAGGGCGCGUAGGCGGCUAUCCAAGUCAGGCGUGAAAUUCCCGGGCUCAACCUGGGGGCUGCGCUUGAUACUGGGUGCUUGAAUGCGGGAGAGGAUAGUGGAAUUCCCAGUGUAGAGGUGAAAUUCGUAGAUAUUGGGAAGAACACCGGUGGCGAAGGCGGCUAUCUGGCCCGUGAUUGACGCUGAGGCGCGAAAGCGUGGGGAGCGAACA
rnacentral:rRNA from 1 species